UUAGCUCAGUUGGUAGAGCGCUUCGUUUACACCGAAGAUGUCGGGAGUUCGAGCCUCUCACG
rnacentral:ncRNA from 14 species